GGUGAGAUGGCCGAGCGGUCUAAGGCGCCACGUUAAGGUCAACCUUAAAAACAUUUUCCGUGGUCCGAAAGGGCGUGGGUUCGAAUCCCACUCUCAUCA